rnacentral:lncRNA from 1 species
GAGCUAACAGCUCAGUAGGCAACAUCAUGCAAUAAAGUCAUCCUAUAACAUGUCAUGAUACAUAUGAAAAGCAGCUAAAACUCAUAAAUUCAAAAUCCACACGAUAACCCAUAAAUCCAAUCCGAGACUCAAAAUAACUCAACCGCAUGACUACGGCCACAUCACCCAGUGGCAUGGUUACACCGUAGUGCCAAUACAACUCUCCGAAGAGCCGUUCCACUAAGCCAACGCACCACUGUGCCGCACCCCCUGGUGCCAAUCUCACGCUCCACCAAGCCGCUCCGAAGAGCAAAAAUGCACCCCUGUGCCGCCACUAUUCUAUCACCGAUGGUCGCGGUGUCGGAACUAGUUCCUCAGUACAAGUCGACAGGGCCAACGUAUCAUCCCAUUGGCGGGGCCUAGACUAUAGUCACGCGGAUUUUAAAAAUCAAUAAUCAACUUUCCAACUCAAGUCAUGAUCAAACUCCUAAUAGUAAAGUACAUAACAGUUUAUGAAAUUAAAAAUUAAUUUCUAAUUCUAACACAUAAUGCCAAUAAUAAAUUAAUAGUUUAUGAAAUUAAAUGCUUAAUUCUAAUUCUAACAUAUAAUGCCAAUAAUAAAUCAUACAUCAGCAUAUGCAUGAUACAUGUUAAAAUUCUACUUUAAAGCAAUAGGUCACCUACCUGGGUUCGCUUAAAAAUCCCUGCCACAGAUAUCACGAACC